rnacentral:rRNA from 1 species
GAUGAACGCUGGCGACGUGCCUAAUACAUGCAAGUAGAACGCUGAAGGAGGAGCUUGCUCUUCUGGAUGAGUUGCGAACGGGUGAGUAACGCGUAGGUAACCUGCCUGGUAGCGGGGGAUAACUAUUGGAAACGAUAGCUAAUACCGCAUGACAACAGUUAUUGCAUGAUAACUGUUUAAAAGGGGCAACUGCUCCACUACCAGAUGGACCUGCGUUGUAUUAGCUAGUUGGUGAGGUAACGGCUCACCAAGGCGACGAUACAUAGCCGACCUGAGAGGGUGAUCGGCCACACUGGGACUGAGACACGGCCCAGACUCCUACGGGAGGCAGCAGUAGGGAAUCUUCGGCAAUGGACGGAAGUCUGACCGAGCAACGCCGCGUGAGUGAAGAAGGUUUUCGGAUCGUAAAGCUCUGUUGUAAGAGAAGAACGAGUGUGAGAGUGGAAAGUUCACACUGUGACGGUAUCUUACCAGAAAGGGACGGCUAACUACGUG